rnacentral:lncRNA from 1 species
AAUAAUAAAAUCCGAAAUCAUUUUUAAAGAAUGGGUAUAUUUGGUGGGGUUAUUCUACUGAUUUCAUGCUUCAUUAUACUGCGAGAAAGGAGAGAGAGAGAGAGAGUUACCUUGGGGUAGAGAAAAGGCAGCGGCGGGGAUUUAUCCGUGCUGUGGGCAAGACAGCGAAGAGAGAGAUGGCUGCUCUGGGCAGAGAACGGGCAGCGGCGAGGAUUUAUCCGUGCUCUGGGCGAGACAGCGAAGAGAGAGAUGGCUGCUCUGAGAGAGAGCAGAUGGAAGCUAGAGCAGCUGGCGAUGGCGUCUGCAGCGAAAAGUGCGCGUGUGAGAGUGAGGGAGAUGGGAAAAUGAAUGGGGAAGCAGUUUCCA